rnacentral:rRNA from 1 species
AGCGAACGCUGGCGGCAGGCCUAACACAUGCAAGUCGAACGAAGUCUUCGGACUUAGUGGCGGACGGGUGAGUAACACGUGGGAACGUGCCUUUAGGUUCGGAAUAACUCAGGGAAACUUGUGCUAAUACCGAAUGUGCCCUUCGGGGGAAAGAUUUAUCGCCUUUAGAGCGGCCCGCGUCUGAUUAGCUAGUUGGUGAGGUAAAGGCUCACCAAGGCGACGAUCAGUAGCUGGUCUGAGAGGAUGAUCAGCCACAUUGGGACUGAGACACGGCCCAAACUCCUACGGGAGGCAGCAGUGGGGAAUCUUGCGCAAUGGGCGAAAGCCUGACGCAGCCAUGCCGCGUGAAUGAUGAAGGUCUUAGGAUUGUAAAAUUCUUUCACCGGGGACAAUAAUGACGGUACCCGGAGAAGAAGCCCCGGCUAACUUCGUGCCAGCCGCCACGGUAA